CUCUGUGGUCAGUCAGCUGGGUCUCACGGUGGAGCUGUUACCAUUGGCAAAGGAUGUGAACAACUUGGAUUGUAAACUUCUGGCACAUAUAACUCCUGAGACUGUUCCAUUGGAACCCAUCAUCUCUGGUAAUCACUUAUGCUACGCAGCCUGUGCAAUCCACGGCUGAGGGUUAGUUGGUGUCGGUGAAGACUCGUCUGCUCCAGCCUACAAGACCGUCCACCAAUCUGAAAGCUGUGUUUGGGGCCUGCUGCUUUAAAAGCCGUCAUACUGCCACAAGAGAGCGCUGUCUCUCAUUUAGUAUUCUGCCUCUGUGCCGACCACUGUGUGUAUUAAGCCUGUCUGGAAGUAUAUCGUGUGCUCGUUCCAGCAGCUAUCACUUCCAUUGAUAGGCUUGCUUGUGUAUGAUCUGCUGCUAGCAUCUUUUGUGUUAGCUGUGUUAGCUUAAGACCCUGUAACCUUGCUGCAGUAGUUAUUACCUUACUGAAAGUCAGUAAGUGUUAAUUUUUGUUAAGUGGCACACUUGAAUUGAUUGUGUUUAACCGUGUGUCUGUAGAGUUGGGCUAGGGUUCAGAGUAAAUACUGAUACCACUCUACAUGGACAGGAUAUUUUCUUUGUUUAGCACAUGAGGUUUAGGGGAGCUGUGCUCUCUAUGUUCUGUUCUGAAUCACCCAUGAAAAGAGAGGUUUUGUUUUCAUUAGGUUUCGAGUUAGUUUGUAAUCCCUGUUUUGGAGGGAUCUCUUUUUGUUAUCUUGUGUUUAUGUUUUUGUAGCACCCACUUGCCCAACUUUUGUUGUUAAACCUUGUACUAAACCCUCUUGUGAAUAAAAAAUUUUUCCACCAUA